GGAAGCCGGGCCGGGGCCCGCCGCCGCCGCGCUGCCCGCGCUCCGCCCGGAGCUGCCGGCCGGCCAGGCGGGCGGGGGCUGCCCUCCGCGCCCGGCCCGGCCAAGGCGGCAGGGAGCUGCGGCCCCGGCCCCGGCCCCGGCCCAGGCCCCGGGCGGGAGGGCUGCGGCCCGGGGGGCCGGUGAGGGCGCUCGGCCCCCUUAGCUCCUCGCUGAGGCCGGGCGAAGGGCUCUAAGGACGGAGCAGCUCGUGGGGCGGGGGCUCGCCUCCGCUUUCCCUUAGUUCCCUUUUUUAAAAAAAAAGCAGUAUUUGUAACUUGCUUUUGAUUUUUCCGAGGGAAGAAAUAACUUCUCUUGGAGCGGUGAUCGACUGGGAGAAGACGGAUUUCGUGCGGCUGGUCUAGAUCCGUGUUGAUGCAGGAAUUGGCCUCGGCAGCAGAACUCCGAUACUGUAAGGCGCUGAGUAUUGACAACUUAAAGUCCAUAUGAGGAGGGUGUGCUUAGUACCACCAGAAAAAAUAUGACUGAAGGUAUUGGCACUGAGAUUACUAAUACGCCUCCUUUGCAGAUUGCAGAAGAAAAACAGCUGGCGCAAAGGAGAUUCCAGUCAAAAGGAAGGAUCAUCAUUCUGAAUACAGAAGACUGAGUUGCAUUCUGAAUUUUCAUUACCAUAUGUGUUUUGUUUGAGUCAUAUUUACCCCCUAACAGGAGUUCAUUGAAUUCUAGUUCCCUCUAUCAGCAGGUUGAAAAUACAGGAAUUGUAGAAGUGACCAACUGUUGCUCAGUGGUGCCCCAUUUGCUACUUCUGGGAAGAGUGCCAAGUCCUGUUCAGUGAGGGUGAUGGGGUGGGAUGUGCUGCACUAGCAUCUGUUCAAGGUAUUUAGUAACUACACAGCAAACAUAA